UAGACAUGAUAUGCUUACCCAGGAGACAGUGAGGUCUCUUCCUGCCUUGGGGCCUGGUUUAGGCGCCUGCCUCGGUCUAGAAUCUUGUAACCUGACCCUACAAACACCAGUAAAUUUCCAUUAGUCUUUAAUCUAGCCCAAGCCAGAUUUGGCCCACCCAACAUGGGCAGAAGAGCCAACUGGGAACACUAAGUGACCUCAGUAAAGGAUGCAACAACAGGAGGAACGAAUCAGAAGGAAAAUCAUCACCCAGGCCCUAUCCUGAAGCGAGAGGUCCAACAAGAACCAUGUCACCUCCUGUUUCCUGGCCACCUUCUAGAUUUUUCCCUCCUGAGUACGCCUGCGCAGCCACCAUCUUGAUGCCCAAAUCACAUAAAAGCCCUACUUCCCUGUAGCUCAGGGAGCCAGAUCUGAGGAACUUCCUCACAGCUUCUUGCUCUGCGCAUUGCAAUUGAAGUUACUUUCUCUUUCUCAAAGACCAGUGCCAGAUAAUCGGCAACUAUGAGUGCGCCAGACAAGGACCCACCUACCUUCCUGGAUUUGCCCCUGCAGCUACAUGAAUCAGGAGAAGCCUCCAGCCUGACCCAUGGACUUGGAACAUUGCAGCCUCUACAACCUUCAAAAGGAUAUCAAGCAAAAUCAGCAAAUGGAAAAGGCACGGGGGCAAAGUCCAGAGGAAACCAGAUACAAACUCCCAGAAUUCUCUCCCAGUGGACUCACGUGAAAUGCACUUAAUUACCCCAGCAAUGUAUGAAAUGUCCACCAGAGAAGCUCCUUAGAGAUUUUAACAUGGUAAAGAUCAAGGCAAACUAAAAGAAAUAAAGCAAAGUAAAUAAAAAAGAGACGCUGAGGGAGGGAAGAAUAUUAAAUAAAACAAAACUAUCAAUAUUCUUAGAGAGGGAGAGCUUGUAUCUACAAAACAAGAACAGGACACUAUGAAAGGGAACACUCAGAGAACAACAGCAACAACAAUGAAAGCUUUUAGAAAUAAAAACCACGACAGCAGAAAUGAACACUUUACACAGGAUUGAAAUAUCACAUUAAGGAAACCUUUUUGAAAGUAGAACAAAACUGAGUUAAGAAAUUAGAAAAAAAAAGAAAGUCAUGUAGAAGAUCAUGGGAAGUCAACCCACACCAAGGCACAUCAUUGUGGAAUCUCCUAACACCUGGGAAAUAGAAGAUUCUUCAAGCUUCUAGAGAGAAAAAAUUGGAUCAUGUAUAAAAGACGAGGAAUCAGAAUGGCUUUGACUUCUCAGUAGCUACAUUAGAGUAAGCCUUCAAAAUUCUGUAGGAAAAAGGUUUUCAACUUAAAAUUCUAUAUGCAUCCAAAUUUUCAAUCAAGUACAAAGGUAGAAUAAUGGCAUUUUUAUACAUGCAGACUCUCAAAAAAAAUUCCCUCUAUUAGCCGUUUCUCAGGACACUCGUGGAGGAUAUAUAUUACUCAAGCACAGGAGUAAAGAGGGAGAAGAUUCCCAAGCCAUUGACCGUGAGCUCCAGUAAGAACAAUGAGUGGUGAAUGGUGAUCCCAGGAUGACAGCUGUGCCUCAGAGGACGAGGGCCGCAGUCGGCACUGGAGCAGUUGUGCAUGGAGAAAAUGUAAGGGCUGUCCUUGCUAAUGCCUUCCUGCCAUUGUUCCAUCUCCUUAACCUGAGGCCAGAGGGCAAUGAGUGGCCCAGAUCCCUAUCUGUGCCGACUCGGCUUAACCACUGACUGGUGAGCUUUCUCUUUCUUGUACUUCACUGCUGUGCAAUGAGCACAUGCAUUUCAACUCAAAGGCCUGCUAUGGUCUUCUCCUAAGAGCCGGAGGUGGACUUCUGUAAGCUGAAUUUAGGCACUGGCUUCUAGUGAAUGAAAUGUGAUGGAAGUGACAAUAUGGGAUUAAGCCACAGAAAGCAUUGCUGCUUUUUCCCCUUGAAUCACUCACUGUGCAGGAAGCUGGCUGUCAUGUUGUGAGGACACUCAAGCAGCCCCGUGGACAGAACACUGGGGAGGAACUGAGUGAGAAACUGAGGCUUUCACCCACAGCCAUAUGAGUGUGCCGUCUUGGAAGUGGAUCCUCCAGCCUCGAUCAAGUCUUCAGAUGACUGGAGAGCCUCACUGAGGUGCCCUGAAUGGGAGUGAGGCCAAUUAUGGCCCAAAGCAAUGAGCUUCUUGAAAAAGAAAGUUGAAGUAAAUAUGGGCCUAUAAUUAAAUAUUCUGCAAGAGUCAUUUUCGAUAAGUGCAGAGAAGCCAGGUAUGGAGUGUUUGGCAAAGGAAUGACUCUCCCUUACAGAGUCAGACCUGGGUGCUCUUCUUCUCUUUGGUCUAAUUAUAGCACAGCUAUGUAGUUUUUCAAAUGCUUGAACAGUUUUGUUAAGGGUUUAUAUUUAACAGCACCUGGACAAUUAUGAAAUAGACCUUCCAUGAAUGUGAUAUGUUUGUUAAACUGAACAUGUUUUGAAAUUUAAACAAUAAAGAUGUCCAUGGUCAGAACAAGUCCGCCCAAAUUCCGAACUAGUGGGGGAAGCUGGCCACCGCAGUUGUCUGGUGGCUUUGGCACUGAAGUGGG